AAAUCUUGCCAUUUGCAAUGACAUAGAUGGAGCUAGAAGGUAUUGUGCUAAGUGAAAUAAUCAAUCAGAGAAAGACAAUUAUCAUAUGACCUCACUGAUACGUGGAAUCUAAGAAACUAAACAGAGGAUCAUUGGGGAAGAGAGGA